rnacentral:tRNA from 1 species
GCCACCCUAGCUCAGUUGGCAGAGCACCUCAUUCGUAAUGAGGUGGUCGUCGGUUCGAUUCCGACGGGUGGCU